GACGAACGCUGGCGGCGUGCUUAACAUAUGCAAGUCGAACGGUGAACCUCUUCGGAGGGGAUCAGUGGCGAACGGGUGAGUAACACGUGGGCAACCUGCCCCCGGCUCUGGGAUAACUCCAAGAAAUUGGGGCUAAUACCGGAUGUUCACCGCUUCCCGCAUGGGUGGUGGUGGAAAGGGUUUCCGGCUGGGGAUGGGCCCGCGGCCUAUCAGCUUGUUGGUGGGGUAGUGGCCUACCAAGGCGACGACGGGUAGCCGGCCUGAGAGGGUGACCGGCCACACUGGGACUGAGACACGGCCCAGACUCCUACGGGAGGCAGCAGUGGGGAAUAUUGCGCAAUGGGCGGAAGCCUGACGCAGCGACGCCGCGUGGGGGAUGACGGCCUUCGGGUUGUAAACCUCUUUCAGCGGGGACGAAGCGCAAGUGACGGUACCUGCAGAAGAAGCACCGGCCAACUACGUG
rnacentral:rRNA from 1 species